rnacentral:rRNA from 1 species
UCUGAACUCAGAUCACGUAAGAAAAAAAAGUCGAACAGACUUAAACUUUAAACUGCUGCACCUAAAGCUAUAUCUUAAUCCAACAUCGAGGUCGCAAUCUUUUUUAUCAAUAUGAACUCUCCAAAAAAAUUACGCUGUUAUCCCUAAAGUAACUUAAUUUUAUAAUCACUAAUAAUGGAUCAAAUAUUCAUAAAUUAAUGACUUUAACAAUAAAAGUUUAUUAAAUUUUACUAUCACCCCAAUAAAAUAUAUAUUUUUAUUUUAAUUAAAUUUAUCAUAAAAAUAAAAAAUAUUACAUAUAUAAAGAUUUAUAGGGUCUUCUCGUCUUUUAAAUAUAUUUUAGCUUUUUAACUAAAAAAUAAAAUUCUAUUUUAAUUUAUAAUGAAACAGUUAAUAUUUCGUCCAACCAUUCAUUCCAGCCUCCAAUUAAAAGACUAAUGAUUAUGCUACCUUUGCACAGUUAGAAUACUGCGGCCAUUUAAAAUUCAGUGGGCAGGUCAGACUUUAAAUUAAUUUCUAAAAGACAUGUUUUUGUUAAAC